UGCCAGAGGCAGACAGAUUAACUACUGAAAACCAGUGUUAUGUCUCCUCAUACUUGUGUUAAAUAACUUGUUUUGGAAGGGGCAACCAAUUUGAACUUUAACCUUUGUUUAACUUCUAUGCAGAUAUUGGGUUCAAAAAAAAAAAACUGAAAAACAAAACAAAACAGAACAAAACAAAAACCCAGAAGGCUCCUAACACAAUCUUUCUUCAAAGAGACUUCAUUCCAGUAGAGAAAAACAGCGAUACAGAUGACCAGGCAUAUGCAGGGCCUUCAGGACCAGGUUUCGAUUAUCUCCUGGAGUCCUGACCCACUCGACACGACAUGGAACUAAAGCCAGGAGAUGUCUGCAGCACUAAGAGCCUCAAGGAAACAAGGCAGAACAAGAUAAUCGAGAAACAGACAGUGCUAAAGAUGCGAAGAUCAACCGAGCUUGCUGUUUAAAAGUACAUGGAUUAAUGACUCCUUUCUCGAUGAGGAAAUAACCAAAAGAAACAGCCAUCUUUCCACCUCUGGAUUCUACAUAACCAGGCAAGCACACUGCAAGUCAGAGGAGGACAUCAACACACACAGACCCCAAACAGGGCCCUUAAUAACAGGGCAACCAGAUUAAGCCUGGGAAAAUCUGCAGCUUGUCUUCAUAUGUGAGGGUAACUUCCAAGCUAUUCAUCACAAGGACUGGAAAAGAACCUGCAUAACCUUUCCUUGGUAACUUAUUCUGGGGCCAAUGGUUGAUUCAGAGCUUCAAAUGGGAUGUGUUAUCUAAAAGUAGGCGCUUAGGUUGAUUUUGGUUUUGUAAGAUAUGCUUUAAAGAAGGGUUGGGGAGCUGGUUCAACAGCAUGUGUUGUGCAAACAAGGGGAGUAGAGUUCAGAUAUUCAGAACCCACAUACAAGCCAGGGUGAUAUGGUGGCCGUCCAUAAUCCCAGCCUCUGAAGUAGAGACAGGGGAAUCCCUGGAACAAACUGGCCAUUGAGACAGACCACGUGAACAAGUCCUGGGGUUGGCUGAGAAAUCCUAAAAUAGAAGAACCAUUGAGGAAGACUUUGAGCAUCAACCUUGGGCCUUCACAUGCAUUAGAAUGUUUGUUUACAUGUUCAUUUGCACACACAUGCACAUACAAACAAGCAUGCAUAUAGGCACAACACACACUGGUAGGGGGGGCAUAAAAGAAUUAAAAAUAAUCACAAAAAAAGGGAGAAAAGGAAGAAGAAAUAUUGGCCCAAAUAAGAUGAAGAAAGAGAACUAGGCAGAGUUGGAAGUUUAGCUAUGAUGCAGACCCACCUCAUGUUAGCCAACCCAGAGGGUGCUAUGGAGUGAAUACUGGUAGUCAGAGCAUUCUGUGGUGUGCUGUUAUGAUCCCUGUGCUCCCACCUAGUCACCAAGUGAGAGCUGGCCUGCAAAGAGUGUGAAGUGUAGAGGAAUUUUAAUCCUGCAACAUGGCUGCUCUGACAAGAGAAUCACAUCCAAAGAUAUGACCCAGCUGGAAGACACACAUACCCUGGUUUACAUUAUGAUCUGGCUGGAAUGUACACACUUUUAAUCCCUAACAAUGAAGGCAAAGUUAGUUUGUAGAGGAAGAAGCUAAAUUUAAAUGUAAUGUUUAACUGAGGGGUAGACAAAGUGACGAAUCAGAGAAAGAUUUAACAGAAUGAGUCAAAGAUAGGAUACAUGCAACUCACACAAGAACAGCCCAGGAGAGGCUAGUUAAGAGCAGCAAGAGAGAAAGAAGGAUGUGUGUGUGUGUGUGUGUGUGUGUAACAGUUACAUUGGCACAGUUUUACAGAGACAGGUUACAGAGAGAGCAAGCUAGACACAGGUAAAGACAGGAGAAGUCAGAAAAUGAGAAGAAGCCAGAAGAUUAGAACAUAUUGUCAAAGUUAGUAUGAGGCCAGGCAGAGCAAUUCAGGCAGAAGAUGCGAGAAGCUGGAUUAAACCUGUCAGCUUGGAAGAUUAGAUUGUAAAAAUGCUAAAAGCUUCCAGGUCUAGGCUUAGGGGUAUUUAGAACAGAGAAUCGAUAAGUUAUUUAUUUACCAGUGAAAUGAGCCGAAUCAAUCCAGAUUAGGUUAUACUAAGUGCAGAUUUACAGGGAAGCUGCUCUCAAUUGAGUUCACUGGCCCUGGGGAAGGAGGCCAGGGAAGUUGUCAUGGGAAGGGAGAGAGAGGAGAGGAUGAGCAGAAAGAGGGAGUGUGCACAGAGAGAGAGAAGGAGAGAGAGAAGGAGAGGGCAGGGAGACCAAAAUGUCUGGAUUAUAUAGGGAAGAGCCUCUGGGAGAAGGGCAGCCCAGUCCCUGGGCUGAAAAGUUCACAGGCAUGCCAGGUAGGGACUGAGGGGUGCUGGGAGAACCUGGAGGCCAGGUCUGCUUUAGUAUGUAAGAAAGGCACCUCAAUCCCUUAUCCUGGGGUCUGAAACAAAACAAGAAUGAAAUGUUCUGUGCUCAGCCCAAGCCAUGUAGUUGAACAGCUGGGGUACGAUGACAGCUCUCAUCUCGAUAGCUCUCAUCUCAUCCCUUCAUCUGAAGAAAUAAAAGUGACAUUUACAUUACAGUGAUGUCAUGUAAAGCAGUCCUCUACAGCUGGGGUGGCUCAUAACAAAGCUGACAAGGGAGUGACCUGUCCCCCUUCCCCCUUUGCUUGACCACAUUUGGAAUCACUUUGUAUGUGUCCACAGGAUGACAACCUCAGGAUUUCUGUGGACCUUUCUUCCUUAGAUAGAAGUCGGAACUAAUUUCAUCCCCUUCUGUGAGUUCCUGGAGGAGCAGAUGAUGUGGGAACGCACAAUUGAUGCCAGGCUACCAUUCUCCAACACUGAGUCUAGAUUUUAUUCACCUUCAGAUGCCUCCUACUUUGCCUCUAAUGAGGCCAAACUGGUAUGCCAAGAGUUGUAUUUUAGAGGAGGCAUAGUUCUCCAAGGAUAAUAGGCUUUGCUUCAAAACCUCAAUAGUUUGUGGAGGCUUCUCCUAUGAGGAAUUUCAAAAAAAAAAGCCCUUUGGAUUAUCCACUCAGAUGUUCGUAUCCAAUUUUUCCUACCCAGGGACCUGAUCUUGAGUUAGCCAUCUCCUCUUGGCUAUUCUAGCUUUUCUGAUUUAAAUCUUGAGCUUGGAUUUCUGUGCUGUCUAGUUGACAAUGACAAGAUCAUUUGGGGACCUGCAAGUUUUCAUUUCUUGCUUUUGUUUGCCCAUGACUCCAAAGAGCUAUUUAUGUUCUUGGUGGAGACCAUCUGUAAUACUUAGCAAUCAACCUUCCAGGCCCAGGUUCAGUACAGCUACAUCUUUAUGGGUUUAAGGUGCCCUCCGGUUUAUUUUACUGUUUUUUUCCCCUUGUACCAAUCUACCAUUCCAAUUCACAGGUGAUGGAAAGUUUUAACAACAGAGUCUCACGGUGUGGAGGUUAUCUGUGUUCUACCUGUCACCAGAAAACAGGUGCUAAUUGCCAGCCAGAAAGCCAGUGACUCAGCUCCCAGGUGUGACUUCUCACCACCACCUGCUCUCCCAGUCUUCUCUGAACCAGCUGUCACCAGGCUGCCUCUUCAGAAGCCAGAAGCAAUCAGUGACCAAUAUUUCUUAGAGAUUUAUACAAAGGAGGGUAGGAAAGUGUUGGUUGUGGGAAGCUGGCCAGCAAUAGAGGCUCAGCAAAGCUAGGCCCUGCUUUGUGGGGUGCCGUGGAGUGGAUGUUGGCUAGGAAUGUCUUGUUCCACUUCCCUGAAAGGGAUGGCCGGUGAUGAGUGAUACGGUUUCCGCAGCUGAGGCUACAGCUGACUGACAUCGUGACAACAUCAUCGAGGGGCUCUGCUGACGGCAGUCACGCUGAGAACUGGCCCACAUGCUCCUCCCCAGGAGGAGAUGAACACACACUGGUUUCUGCAAAACAAUGUGUCAAAGGAUGGCUUCUCUUCCCCACAUUUGGAGAUCCAAACAGAAUGGAUGGCGUUUUUCACCUAUUCUGCAGGACUGGUGUGAACUGAGAGAAGUCAUGGUCCACAAGCCACAGACUCUGUCUCAGCAUGGAUCAGUGGCUCUCAGAGACUGCCAGCUCAGUGCCUCCAGUGACAGGAACCGGGAAGAAUGAGUGUUACGGAGUACGGAGACAGAUGGACGAGUGCUGGUUCCACUGAAGAGCGGCUUCUGAUCAAUGAAGCAAAGAUUCCUGAAAGUCAACUAUUUUUCUGAUCCAGGCUCCCUACACCCACCCCAUGCCCUUCUCCCAUCCUGGCAAUGUUUAGUUGGGGCUCCUUCAGUGCCAAAUGGAGCUCUUUCCUGUAUUCGAAACUGUUAAGACUCUGAGGAAUUUUGAUAUAAUACAUUAAAACAUUUUCUCAGCCAAGUGUUUUACACAACAUGAAAUAUUUUUCUAUGGUAAUGUUUCUUUUAUUGAGUUUUUUUUUUUUUUACAAAAAUUAUCACACAUUCUACAGAUAUUCAGCAACACUUACUCAACUGAAACACAAAAUAAAAUUACAGAAACACCAAAUACAGACAUUUCUCAAAUUAACCAGAGGCAAUUUGUUGUGACUGGGGAAUAAGAGGGCAUGAUCUGAAAUGCAGACUGGGAGAACUUGGGAUCUAUUCUGGAAUACAUCACAGGGGUGGGACACCCUUUCCUCCUGACCCAGUAGUCAGGACAGAAGGCCCAAACACUCUGACAGUUGUACAAGAAGUCUCAAAUCACAGCUUCAGGUGUCAAAAAGGUGACAGUCACCGAGUACAUCAUACAGCCUAAAAUGAAUGGGCACAAGAAGAUGAAGAUCAUGUGCCAAGAGUUACCAAUUUGGGAGUGUCAGCUUGGGGAAGAAGAACCAUAGGCUAAGGUAAGAUGAUGUAGAGAUAGAUGGUAGAGGCAGUGGCUUUAAGGUCCAGAUCACCCGAAGAUUGUGAAAAGCCCCCCUCCCCCCCGGGGGGGGAAGAAACUCCAAUCUGGGAACUGAAGCCAAGUUUGUGUCUGGUGCUCAGGGAAGCUGUAGAUUAAGGAUGCAAAGCCCAACUCUUAAUACCUCCCUUUGCAUCUCUAAAUCACACUGUCCUUGGAUGUCCCCGUGUGAGUCAGAGGGAAAGGUCAAGGAGCCUACAGCCUGGCCAGGGGUGGGGGUGGGGGUUGGCUGGGGCUGCCAGCAGUACCUCACACAGCUAUUACACACAAUUUUCUCCCAUCACCCAUGAGUCAUUUUAGUCCUAGUUGACAGAUGAGGACAUGAAGUAGUUGCUGAUAUACAAAGAACCAGAGAUCAGGGGCCAGAAUGUACGUUUUCUGACCCCUUACCCACUAGUUUGUACUUUUUAGUCCUAGUUGACAGAUGAGGACAUGAAGUAGUUGCUGAUAUUCAAAGAACCGGAGAUCAGGGGCCAGAUGUACAUUUUCUGACCCCUUACCCACUAGUUUGUACUUUGUUUCCUUUGUAUCUCUUUUUAUCGAUACUUUGUACUUUGUUUCUCUUGGUAUCUCUUUCUAUCAAUUUUUCCUCUCUAGCUGGUUUUCCUUGCUCACUAUUUAUAGUAGUGUUCCUCACCCCACCCCAUUAUUCUCUGAUUCCCUGUCCUAAUCCUUAACACCACCAGAAAUGUUCCCAGCUGUCCCCUUAUUUAUUAUAUGCUCUCCCUACCCUAUCUCAACGAAAGUGCCCUGUAAGCAGGCCUUGCCUAAGAUAUUUACUGCCCAGUUCCCCAGCCUCCAUCUUGUGUCUGGCAUAGCACCACUACGUUUCUUUAAGAUCUGUGGGCCAGGAUUCCUCAACCAUCUGGGGACCUGGUUCAGCUGCACAUCGGUGCCUGGGCCAGCCCCUGCCAUGCUGAAAUAUUAGUGUUGCUGGUCAGCUGAGCUCUCACCGUAACGUUUGAUUUCUGAAUUUUAGAGGCAGGCAAAAUGGUCAUUGAGGAGGGCAAGCCAGGAUUAGAACAAAGGGGAUGACCAAAGUACAUCUCAAAUAGGUAGAUGGAUUCUUUGUAGCAGCAGCAAUUUCCUGUCUGAACACGUGUGCAUCUUGUAUAUGACUGUUUCUGAAUCUUACUUAGACAACAUUUAUCUUGCUUCUAUCCUACACAGCACUUUAACAAACUGCCAAGCCUCAGAUCCACCGGGCCCCCCUUCACGAUCACAUUAGGAGCUGCCCAGCAGUUGAAAACCUGUUUGAAUUCCUAAGCAAGACUCGAAAACAGAAAAUCCUCAAAGGCUGCAGCUUGGAGACCAACUCUCUCAAAUAGGAAUUUUCCUUUAGGGUCUGUUUGGUGAAAACAGAAGCUUCUAACUUUGAGGCAGGCCAUGUCAGCGGUUUAAUUUAAGACAUCAAAUGAGAAACAAUCUGUCUGGUGUAACCUUUCGCCGGUGAAAUGAACAGCCUCACGCCAGCUCCCAGAGAACACUCUCAUUAUCCCGGUCUCCGUGACAUGGGACAUAUUGUCUCUUUCCUUGACUUGACCUUAACACAUCAUUGAUGCAAAACAUAUUUCUAGUUUGAAAAAUAGUCAUCUAGAAAAGAAAACCAUUUCCCUGUCUCAAUUCACAGUCUCAGACUCAGCAUUGGGGGAAAUGUGUUUUACUUGUAUCCGUGACUGGCUCCAGCCUCUUAAAAAUUAGGGGAAUAUUUGAGAGCAGAACCCUAAAAAUUUAUUCUUCGCAUUUCCAUUCCUCCUUGUGGAUGGACUAAGAUCUAUGAAACCCAGGGGAACAGAAGCUGUUGUUUAAGGUUCCUAGAAAACAACGGGGAGGGGCGGCUUGUUUAGCAGCAAAGACCUGUGACUGCAUUAAACAAAUUACAUACAAACAUAAAGUCUCCAUUAGAUCCUUAGAAUUAGCGAAGACGUAAUAUUAUCUAUAGUGUGGAGACAUCUAUUGCAAUAGGGAAAGGCUAUUAGGUUGUUUUCCUUAACACUGCAGCUGAUAAAACUGCAGCCCCAGAAUAGACUGGAAGGGGAAGGCCCAGACAGGGGUCUCCUUGGGUGCAUCAUAACGAGUCUUCAGCCUUACCCACUUACUCUUUGGAAAGAGUUCUCUUGGAGGGAUACACUUGUAUUUAUUGGUGCAUUUGUGAUUUGUGUGGGGCCUCCUUUUUUUUUUUUUUUUUACAUCAGAAUUAGCAUCAACUGGGCAGUCCGGUACACCCCUGGUGAAUAGAGCGAGAGACUCACCCAACUUUUCAGUCUCUGCUCCAUCUUUUUGCAGUUGGUUCAUGAUCGAAGGUUGAUGCGGGAUUCUAAUCACUAUGUCAUGGAAUAUGGCAGGAAGGAGAGAAAAGAUCUUCCUUCUGCUGUGUGGUUCCCCUUAAAGGAGACCACCCAAAGUCUCCAUGAUUUACAUACUCUUUAGUCACCAGCUAGAGCUUGCAUUGCCAUAAAAAGUGGUAUCCAAAGUUGUUUCACAUCAAAGUGGGCUUCCAUUAUUUGGGAAGGAAGGGAAUUUGGUUAUCAGGAGGCUCUGAGGUGUUGCCUUAUGGCCGAGCACAGUACUUACGCCAGUGGAAAUGCUGGGGUGUAUAAAUCCGGCCUCCUUGGAACAGUACCUCAGGAAUAUUUUGGUAGUGACAGACAAGCUCACACUAGACUAGCACACACAAGCAUCAUUUCUAGUGAUGAGAGACCCCCGAGAUCAGAAGAAAGUUAGAAGUUACUAACCAGGGAUUCGGCCAUUUAAAGAAAGGUACCAUAGGGCUGGCAGGCUUGGUCAACAUAGUGCUGUCGAGGCACAGAAAGAGUCUGGAGCCUCAGUGCUCAGGGGAGUGUAGAAAGGCAGAUGCCUAGAGCUCGCUGACAAGUCCGCUGAAUUGGGGGGCUCCUGGGUGACUGAGAGAUCCUGUCCUCAAAAAAUAAGGUGGAAGGGCUGGAGAGAUAGGUCCAUGGUUAGGAACACUUAAUGCUCUUGCAGAGGACCUGGGUUUGGUUCCUAGCACGUGCAUGGGCGGCUCACGACCAACUGUAAUUUCAGUUCUAGGAUAUCCUAUGCCAUCUUAUGACUUACUCAGGCACUCGGCAUACAUGUUGUCACAAGUCAUAUAUACAUACAUGAAUGUUGGCACACAUUCAUAUAUAUACAUAAUAUAUAUGUGCAUAUAUAUAUACAUAUACAUAGGAAACAAUCAGGUGAAAUGCAAUCUAGGAAGAUACUUGAAGUUCAUCUCUUGAUUCCAUGUGAAUACAUAUGUGUGUAUAUAUCAUCAACAAGAGAAAAGGAGGACAGAGGAGAGAGGAGAGAAGGGAGAGAGACAGAGAAAGAGAGAGGGGGGGAGACAGAUAGACAGACAGACAGAGACAGAGGGAGGGACAGAGACAGAGAGAGACAGAGGCAAGGCAGAGGAAGCAGCAACAACACACUUGUGUGGGCUUUGCCUUAGUAUCCUGAGAGAGCUUUUCCUGCUCUGCAGUGUGAUACAGAGCAGAGAGCCAUGGUCUUACAGAAUUGAAGGUUGACAGAACGGAGUUUGAGGCUACUCAGGGUGCUGGAAACCAAGGGGGAGAAACCCUGGAAGGUAAAGAGACCCCUCAGAAUCCGCAAGUCCAUUCUGCAAAUCUUUGGCAAAAUUCUGUCCAUGUGCGAGAAACAGAUAAAGAGGCCAGUGAAAGCAAGAACUGGAGGACUGGAGAGAUUAAAACAAUUCUUCAGCACAGCCUGACACUGGCAAGAAAGGGCUGGGAAUUUAAAUCUCUUCAAGUUGCAGGAGUUGGCUGCUGUCGUGUUUCUCUCUCCUGUUCUUUUCUUGUCCUUGGAUCCUAAGUGCACAUGCAUUAGAUGACUUGCUGCAGCACUCGCCACCUACCAAGCCUCUUUCUCCCUGUUCGUCGGCUUGGAUAAUUUCUCCCGAAUAUAUAUAUAUAUAUAUAUAUAUAUAUAUAUAUAUAUAUUUCGUCCUUUGCCACUUUCUUCUGCCAACUUGAAUUUGCUUCUAAGCCCAUAUUCAGUGAAUUUUCUAUUUCAGAUAUUGUACUUUUCAGUU